GAUUUUGCAUGUCUGCACUAUUUAGUUAUAUAUUGUAUGUUUAUAAGCGUUGCUGGUUCCAUAUUUAAUGUUAAAGCAAAACAUGUUUGGUAAAUAUUAAAAGGUUUAUUUGUUCAAUGUUGGCCCGCAAUUUUAUUCAAGUUUUAAUUUUUGGCCCAUUAUGUAUUUGAGUUUGACACCCCUGUCUUAACUCAUUAAAUCCCUAAGUGACACAUACUCAACACCCUGGUGUAAAAAAAGUAACUAAUUUCAAAAAGCUUAUUUUUUGUUACUAGCUUAAAUCUAAACCCAUUUAACAAUUCUAAUCUGUUAAUAGGGUGUCCUUUAUUGCAUUUAACCCUAUUAGGGUUUGUUAUUUGUUUUUAUUUAUUAUUUAUUGAUUGAUUGAUUUUUUUUAACUUAAAAACAAAUCUGAAAAAUAAGUUGUUGUUAAACAGCACUAUUAAUGUCACAAUUUUUAAUAUAUGUUGUGGAGAUGCAGAGAAAAAGGAAAUUUGUGUUUCUGUAAGCAGAAAAGGUGUCGAGUUUAUUUAUACUAAAAUAAGAAAUAUCAUAAAAAUAUAUGUCA